rnacentral:rRNA from 1 species
CGGGUGAGUAAUGCUUGGGAAUAUGCCUUAUGGUGGGGGACAACAGUUGGAAACGACUGCUAAUACCGCAUAACGUCUACGGACCAAAGGGGGGGAUCUUCGGACCUCUCGCCAUUUGAUUAGCCCAAGUGAGAUUAGCUAGUUGAUGAGGUAAUGGCUCACCAAGGCGACGAUCUCUAGCUGGUUUGAGAGGAUGACCAGCCACACUGGGACUGAGACACGGCCCAG